GAUGAACGCUAGCGGCAGGCCUAACACAUGCAAGUCGAGGGGUAGCAGGAUUAAGCUUGCUUAAUUGCUGACGAACGGCGCACGGGUGCGUAACGCGUAUGCAACUUACCUUAUACUGGGGUAUAGCCCGGAGAAAUUCGGAUUAAUCCCCCAUAGUACUAAUGAAUCGCAUGGUUUAUUAGUUAAAGCAUUGCGGUAUAAGAUGGGCAUGCGUCCUAUUAGCUAGAUGGUGAGGUAACGGCUCACCAUGGCUACGAUAGGUAGGGGGCCUGAGAGGGUGGUACCCCACACUGGUACUGAGACACGGACCAGACUCCUACGGGAGGCAGCAGUGAGGAAUAUUGGUCAAUGGGCGCAAGCCUGAACCAGCCAUGCCGCGUGCAGGAAGAAUGCCCUAUGGGUUGUAAACUGCUUUUAUUUGGGAAUAAACCUCUUUACGUGUAGAGAGCUGAAGGUACCAAAUGAAUAAGCACCGGCUAACUCCGUGCCAGCCGCCGCAGUAA
rnacentral:rRNA from 1 species